UUUGCAGAGGAAAGCCUAACUGUCUGUAUGUGUUUGCUCUUUAGUCUCCAUUUCACACCAAAACUGGGAAUAGAAUUGGUGAAAACAUUGAUGCAGUAAAGUGAGUUUGUCUGUUCUGCUCUUGAGCAGCUUACAAGACUGAGACAGCUCUUAUUCACACUCCUUUAACCAAUGGACCAGGACGAGAGCUCGCUGUUGCCCUGGGCUUGGAGUGAUGUUUGUUCUGAGUAAAAUGAAGAUCAUCAGCUGUGCAGCGCAAAUUGUGUAUGUGUUCCCAGCGUGGGGAGAUGCAGGUACCCACUGUGUGCCUGGCUGGUGCAAAGCAGCACCUGCCUGUUCGGCAUGUGGAAUUGAGGACUACUGCAAAAAUGGACAAAGGUUAGUUACCAGCACAAUCCAUGUCAUCCCCUAAGGAAAUGAAGCUUGAACAGGUUAAAGGCUGCAGUCGCAUACAGGCGGAAAUGAAGGGGAA